UACGAAGGGGGCUAGCGUUGUUCGGAAUUACUGGGCGUAAAGCGCACGUAGGCGGACUAUUAAGUCAGGGGUGAAAUCCCGGGGCUCAACCCCGGAACUGCCUUUGAUACUGGUAGUCUCGAGUCCGGAAGAGGUGAGUGGAAUUCCGAGUGUAGAGGUGAAAUUCGUAGAUAUUCGGAGGAACACCAGUGGCGAAGGCGGCUCACUGGUCCGGUACUGACGCUGAGGCGCGAAAGCUAGGGGAGCAAACGGG
rnacentral:rRNA from 1 species